CUUUAGAUCCACCCAGGGUUAAAAUAUUUUCCAAGGUCAUAAGAUGGAAAUGAACUAAGUGGGAUCUAGAUAGGAGAAAUAUGUCACUUAUUAAAUGCAAAUAGCUUCAUAGUGAAAAAACUGUUGUCUGUGCGACUCGAAAAGGCGAAGGAGAGGGAAAAGAAAUCCGGCCCUCAAAAUUUGUGGUAGAAGACCUAACAAGCACGUCUCAAUGACCUAGAAAGUUCUGCGUUAAGUAGGCUACAUAUAUAAAGCGUGGUUUUUGAACUUGCCCUUCGAGAUCUACGAUUCGAGUCUUAAAUUUUGGAUAUACUUGAAUAACAGUCGACAAAUACAAUUUCAACCAUGCAUCGGGGAAUUUUUAUAUUUUACUGCCUUGUUCUCCUCACAACAAGUCUGGUAGCUUCCAAGAGUUUGAAUCGUGCAGAGAGGGAUAUCCAAGAUAUGGCUAAUGUAGCUGCCACCGGAAGACAACUUGGCAGUGGACUUAGCGCACUGGGAACACUUGUAUCUCCCUUACUCUUUCUCAUGGGAAUGGGGUCCUUCAUAUCCAUGUUGCCUCAAAUGUUUCAGACCGUUCUUAGUGGUGUCGGUUCCAAUCUUAUUCAGUCUUUCACUGGAGCUGCUUCAGGCGGUGGCAGCUCUACUCGCCUGAAGAGGGAUCUUAUGAAUGAGGACGAUAUCUUGAAAGAAGUCGAGAAUAGACUCAAUCUUGCCGUUAUGAAAUAUGAGAGACCUAUGAAUGCUUAGCAAGAAUUCCAAGAAUUGGCAUUUCCGAAUAAGAGAGAAAAACAUUCUGGCGGGCCAGUUUGGAUUGAGUUAUGUGUAAAACUCCAGCAAAUCAUUGCCUAUUUUAUAUAGCUGCCAUAAAUUGAAGAGUGCAAUAAGUUGAUGUUUUGUCUAUUUCAUGAUUGAGUUAUAAUUCAUAUAUGUGUUCAUAUAUUUGUGCCGAAAGAGAGUUCAUUGAUUUCUAUAUAAUAGCUCUGUACUUCACAGAAACUUUGCACUGAAUUCAAACUGAAUAUAUUAAAACUGAAAGUAUUAUCUAAGUUAUGGGAAGUUUGAAUGAACUGAUUAGUUUACUUUGGAACGAGGGAGGAUUAAAAAAUAUUCCACACUGUUUUUGGCAAAACUAAUUCUGUUUCUCGUUCAACAUUUAAUAUGGCUGUAAGAUAUCAUGGAUUUCAUGCAAAAAUUGUGACAGUAUUGGUUUGUAAUUUAAGCUUAAGAAAAACAUAUGCAUAAUGAAAAUACAUGUCUUAGAUGAUUUUUAGCAUAAAAAACGAAAUUUUCGAAACCUUUUUUCCAUAACAACAUCAGUUUAAAUAUAUCUUGUUUUGGGUCUGUGAACGAUCGACUGAAAGUUUUCAAAUAAACUGAGGUUUGUCAAAAGAUAAAGCUUAUAUUUUGAUCGCUUUCUGGAAAACAUUCCAGGUACUACUCAGGAAAGAAAUUGAAGAUGGUCCCUGUUUAAUUUAUACUACGUAAACAGGCUUACACAUUUAUGUUAGUUCGCGUGGGAGAAUCCAAUGUUUCAAUUCAGCUAAAAUUGUCUAAUCAGUCGUCUGCAGGCGUCAUUGCUUUGAUAUAGUCUUUGAUAAAUAAGAUAGUCUAAAUCUGACUCCACUGUGGAAGAAACGUAUAGCUAAUAUUCGUUCUUAAGAUAAACAUUGUAGUUUCUUUGCUUAUAUGCCGUAUUUGGUUACAGCUCAAGAGAUAAAUGAAAGUAAAAUAAGUGCGUAUGGGCAUCGUUUCUUGCUUCUCCCCGGAAGUAUGUGGAAUGAUACUCAAUCUUAACUUUUGGAAUUUUAUACCCUGUCUUUCGUGAAAUACUAUCGGAUUGUCCGGAAAAUAAUGCAGGUUUUUGGAAUUGUUUAUCUUUCCUGUAUAAUUUUAGCAACAAAAAUAUUUUGAAUUACAUUAUUUUAUAUAUUAUUUUGAAGCUCUAUUUUCGCUCUAUAUUUUUAUAAUAUUCAUUUUGUUCCAAAAUGAUUUUAAAAAUUAUUUACUGGGUGUUUUUGUUUAGAUGAUAAAACGGGAUUUUCGGAAAAUUUACAUUUAUGAGUACAAGCUAGGCCGCAGCGCAGCACAAACGGCUCGAAAUGUCAACGAAGUAUGGCGCGAGAAAAGUGUGUGUGAAUCUACAGUUCAACGGUGGUACCAAAAAUUUCGCCGUGGAGAAUUUGAAGUGGAAGCUGAAGAGCGUCGUGGACGCUCUUCAGCUGUUUAUGACGACCAUUUGAACACAUUAAUUGAAACAAACUCGUGCACAACUGUUCAAGAGCUUUUGGUGAGCAAAACAACGAUUUCUGAUCACUUGAAUCGUAUAGGAAAGUCAAAUAAGCUCGAUAAGUUGGUGCCUCACAAAUUGAGCGAAAAUUAAAAAAAAUCGUCGUUUUGAAGCGUCGUCUGCUCUUCUUCUCCGCAACAAAACGACCCUUUUCUUCAUCGAAUUGUUACGUGCGAUGAAAAGUGGAUUCUCUAUAAAACCAGCUGCAUUCGGCUCAGUGGUUGGACCGAAGUCAGACACCACAACACUUUCCAAAAACAAAUUUCUACCGAAAGAAAAUUAUGGUGACUGUAUGGUGCGGCCGGUCUCAUCCACCACUGCUUCCUAAAUCUGGGCGAAACGAUUACGGCAGAUAAGUACUGUCAGCAAACCAACGAAAUGCACCAAAAGUAUGCAACGCAUGUGCCCGACAUUGGUCAACAGAAAGGGGCCAGUUCUUCUCCACGACAAUGCUCGCCCGCACUUCGUGAAACUGACUUUACAGAAAUUGAACGAAUUCUUCCUCUUCCGCCAUAUUUGCCUGACCUCUCGCCGACCGAUUAGCUCUUUCUCAAGCAUCUGGAUAACAUUCUGCAGAUAAAAUGCUUCAGAAACCAAGGCCAAAAACUCCUUUAACAACUUUAUCCCAUCCAGAACUCCAUAAUUUUAGUCUACCGGCAUAAAUAAACUUAUCUCAUUGGCAAAAAUGCAUUGAUUUGGUUGGUGCUUAGUUUGAUUAAUAAAAUUGCUUUUGAGUUGAGUUAUGAUACUUUAAAAAUAUAGGUUAAAAUCCUGCAUUAUUUUCCGGACAACCUAAUAGAUAAUUUUCUUUCUUUAGAAGAAAUCAACAGUCAAUAUUGUUUUGUACAUCUUGAAAUGAAAGUUAUUAUAUAAUCUUGAAGUUAUUAUAGAAUGUUUAUGAAAAAUGCAUGAAAAUGUUUUUGUUAUUUACAUGAAAUGUAAAAGAACUAUUUUUAUACCCAUUUUUAUUAAAACAUUCUUCAAAUGCUCAUUGAGUUUAGAUAAUUAAAAUAAUAAUUGCAAAAACUUCGAAAAAUGAAUUUUGUAUAAAAUUCGAAGGUUAGCAUAAGAACCUGGGAAAAGUCAGAGCAAUUUAAAAAGUUUCAUGUGUUUUAUUUUAUCAUGUAUGACCUCAAAAAUGUAUUCAGAUGCAUUCAAAUGCUAUAAAAUGCAACAAUCUCAGUAUCGUGCAAUAUAUUAUGAAAGCAGUAUUAUGAAAUAUCCUAAGAAUAAGGAAUCCUCUGCAAACAUUUAAUGAUUCUAUAUCGUUUAGCCUUUGCAGUGCAGUGUAAAAAUUUUUACAUAUAUUUGUCAUGCUAUGCAAUGAAAAUUUAUGAAAAUAAAUGACGGUAGAAUUAUAUUUUUAAGGAAUUAUAAUAUAAAAUGACUUUCAUUAUUUCGAAUAAGAAGGAAUUCGCUUAUCCUAAUUUAGAGAGAAAAUAAAUUUUCAUCAAACCUUUUUAUUUAUUGAUAAUCGUUUUUCUUUUGUAUUAUUAAUCGAACAUAUAUAAAUAAAAAGCUAAGAAAUCCUUAAAAUGGUAUAUUAUUGUCAAGUUUAAUUUCGUCUUUGAAAUGAUUUCCAUAAAAAUAUUACGUUCAGGAUUUUCUUGAUGUGUAUGUAUAUUUUUAUAAAGAAACAUGAAAAAAAUUAACUGGACAUGAAAUAAAGUGUUAGACAUUUUCAAUACCAAAGUUUUUAAUAAUUUAAAUAAAAGACGUGCAAUACUUUGAACUGGUAAAUGAGCAUUCAGUUAAAAAUCUGUAAAUGAAUCAUUAAAUGUUUAAUUUACAGUUAUUUAACUACGUUGUCAUUUUUAACUUGCUUAAAUUGUUAUAUGUUACAAAGGCUGUUCGCACACUUUUUAGACGAUUUUCAUUGUAUUUAUAAAAAUAUUUCAUCUAAAAGUUUUGUGUUUUAAAUGUUCUAAUUGAUAAAAACCUUAUUCCGCAUUAUUUUUCUAUACCGUAAUGUUCAGUACAAUGAAGCCUUCAAGCCUGUUUUAGUAUCAAAAGAGGUACGAGUAUUUCAUCCUAUUCCACUUCAACAGCUUUCCAAAGUCCAAAGAGGGUUCUAGGUCGACGUUCGAACAAUUCGAUUUUUAAAAGUCCGCAAGCGCAAAAAUCCGCGAUUCACGAGAUUUAGUUGGGAUAUGAGUGAAGGGCCUUGAUACCCGUUUCUAGUUCCAUUUUUUCCAGCAAAUGAACAGUAGAUUUUGACGUGUGGCUGCUUGUUUUGUCUACUCAUUGAUGGCACUAUGAAUAAGAGAAAGUGCUUCAUAUUUAAAAAUUGGGUAUAAAAUAUAUUCCUGAUAAUAUGUGGAAUUGAUCUUAGGAACUGUAUUCGAAUUAUAAAUCCCAAUAUGUUUUCAUAUCAUCUCCACGCCAUUUUUAAUAAACUUUUUAAUAUUGUUUUCUUUUCUUUUUCUAAAAUGGAAUAAUGUAAGGAGGCAUAGAUAAACCCGCCACAAAAGUGAUCGUACACCAAAAUAUUUUCGUAAAAUUUCUGCCACUUUUUUAUUUUGGUGAUGUUUAAAAAUUCGCUUGGUUUAUUCUUUGCUUGCUUACUUCGUUAUAUUUUAUUUAAUAUUUAAAAAUGGGUUGUAGUCGUAAGAAAUAUCUAUAUAUAAAAAAUAAAAAGCUUAUUCUUUCUUUCACAAAAUCAAUGGUAAAUAAGCCCGAAGCCUAUUGGAACCAUAUCUUAUGUUCAGAUGAAUGCAAAUUUAAUGUUAUUGGUUCGAAUGAACAUAUAAUUGUAUGGGAGAAGAAAAAAUGAGGAACUUAAUCCCGAGAACUUGUUUGGAACAGUAAACCAUGGCGGUAGAGUUGUCCUUGUGUGAGGGUGCGUGUCAAUAUUAUCAUUAAGUAAUUUGGUAUUUAUUGAUGGCAUAAUGAACCAUGAUCUUUAUUCAAAUAUUUUAAACGAUAAUUUAAAAUUAUCCGCCCCAAAUUUGACUCUUGGAAACUUUAUUUUUUAUCAGGAUAAUGAUUUUAAGCACACGGACCGCAAGUUUCGGCUUUGGUGUUGCUAUAAUUAUCCACAAGUUCUGAAAAUACCACCUCGGCUGAGGCGAAAUGCAGAUGGUACCCGCGGCCUUGGGUACCCGCGGAUGACGCUAACCCGGUAGAACAUAAAUAAACGAGUUUCGAAUCCAUGAGAGUUCCUAAUAAUUUUCACAAGGGAAAAUAGUAAGCAAUAAUAUGGCAACAGUACGUUAUUUAGGUGCACACUAGACUAGAAUCCAAUAGAAUACAUUUGGAGAGACUUAAAUAUGAAGAUACAACAUAAAAACGAAAACCGAACUAAACAUAGGAAUGAUGGAAGAAUGGAAGAACACUGAUGCACAUAUUACAACAACAGAAAAAAAAAAAAAAAAAAAAAAAA
rnacentral:lncRNA from 1 species